AAAGAGUACCUGAAAUUGCUGAAACGGAAGCGAAGGAAACCAGUGUUUGUUGGUUCAUAUUUCCCUGGCCACUUGUGGUUUGGGCGCUGUGAGCUUGCGUGGGUUUGCUUUGGUUGAUCCCUUUGGAAGAGCGCAGUCAGAGUUGAUGUCUGUUGCUAGCACUGGGUUUGACUAAUGCAGACGAAAUGGUUUUCUUUACCCCGUCUUGAAACACGGACCAAGG
rnacentral:rRNA from 1 species